rnacentral:rRNA from 1 species
AGUCGAACGGUAACAUUUCUAGCUUGCUAGAAGAUGACGAGUGGCGGACGGGUGAGUAAUGCUUGGGAACUUGCCUUUGCGAGGGGGAUAACAGUUGGAAGCGACUGCUAAUACCGCAUAAUGUCUUCGGACCAAACGGGGCUUUUAGCUCCGGCGCAAAGAGAGGCCCAAGUGAGAUUAGCUAGUUGGUAAGGUAACGGCUUACCAAGGCGACGAUCUCUAGCUGUUCUGAGAGGAAGAUCAGCCACACUGGGACUGAGACACGGCCCAGACUCCUACGGGAGGCAGCAGUGGGGAAUAUUGCACAAUGGGGGAAACCCUGAUGCAGCCAUGCCGCGUGUGUGAAGAAGGCCUUCGGGUUGUAAAGCACUUUCAGUUGUGAGGAAAAGUUAGUAGUUAAUACCUGCUAGCCGUGACGUUAACAACAGAAGAAGCACCGGCUAACUCCGUGCCAGCAGCCGCGGUAAUACGGAGGGUGCGAGCGUUAAUCGGAAUUACUGGGCGUAAAGCGCACGCAGGCGGUUUGUUAAGCUAGAUGUGAAAGCCCCGGGCUCAACCUGGGAUGGUCAUUUAGAACUGGCAGACUAGAGUCUUGGAGAGGGGAGUGGAAUUCCAGGUGUAGCGGUGAAAUGCGUAGAUAUCUGGAGGAACAUCAGUGGCGAAGGCGACUCCCUGGCCAAAGACUGACGCUCAUGUGCGAAAGUGUGGGUAGCGAACAGGAUUAGAUACCCUGGUAGUCCACACCGUAAACGCUGUCUACUAGCUGUGUGUGAAUUUAAUUCGUGCGUAGCGAAGCUAACGCGCUAAGUAGACCGCCUGGGGAGUACGGCCGCAAGGUUAAAACUCAAAUGAAUUGACGGGGGCCCGCACAAGCGGUGGAGCAUGUGGUUUAAUUCGAUGCAACGCGAAGAACCUUACCUACACUUGACAUGCAGAGAACUUUCUAGAGAUAGAUUGGUGCCUUCGGGAACUCUGACAC